rnacentral:tRNA from 1 species
GCGGCUGUGGCGGAAUUGGUAGACGCAGCAUUGGGGUCGCUGUGGGGCUAAUACCCCGUGGAAGUUCGAGUCUUCUCAGCCGCACCA